rnacentral:rRNA from 1 species
GAUUCUUCGGAUGAAUUCAUUUGUGACUGAGCGGCGGACGGGUGAGUAACGCGUGGGUAACCUGCCUCAUACAGGGGGAUAACAGUUGGAAACGACUGCUAAUACCGCAUAAGCGCACGGUACCGCAUGGUACAGUGUGAAAAACUCCGGUGGUAUGAGAUGGACCCGCGUCUGAUUAGCUAGUUGGUGGGGUAACGGCCUACCAAGGCGACGAUCAGUAGCCGACCUGAGAGGGUGACCGGCCACAUUGGGACUGAGACACGGCCCAAACUCCUACGGGAGGCAGCAGUGGGGAAUAUUGCACAAUGGGGGAAACCCUGAUGCAGCAACGCCGCGUGAGUGAAGAAGUAUUUCGGUAUGUAAAGCUCUAUCAGCAGGGAAGAAAAUGACGGUACCUGACUAAGAAGCCCCGGCUAACUACGUGCCAGCAGCCGCGGUAAUACGUAGGGGGCAAGCGUUAUCCGGAUUUACUGGGUGUAAAGGGAGCGCAGACGGCGAGACAAGUCUGAAGUGAAAGCCCGGGGCUCAACCCCGGGACUGCUUUGGAAACUGCCUUGCUAGAGUGCUGGAGAGGUAAGUGGAAUUCCUAGUGUAGCGGUGAAAUGCGU